UACCAGCACCCCGAGUGGUCGGGACGUUUAUUGGGCCUAAAGCAUCCGUAGCCGGUUCUACAAGUCUUCCGUUAAAUCCACCUGCUCAACAGAUGGGCUGCGGAAGAUACUAUGGAGCUAGGAGGCGGGAGGGGCAAGCGGUACUCGAUGGGUAGGGGUAAAAUCCGUUGAUCCAUUGAAGACCACCAGUGGCGAAGGCGGCUUGCCAGAACGCGCUCGACGGUGAGGGAUGAAAGCUGGGGGAGCAAACCGG
rnacentral:rRNA from 1 species